rnacentral:pre_miRNA from 1 species
UGGACAGAUUAUUGUAUUCAACUAUAUUUACAGCGUGAAAUAGGGGAUUACAUUGUUUUGAAAAUGGAAAGUGAAACAAUUAACAUGAUAGACUCCU